UGGCAAGACGGAAGUUUGGCUGUCUCUCUUUUAGGGUCUUGAAUUUACCAUCUUCGUGAAGAGGCGAAGAUAAGGUCGUAGGACGAGAAGACCCUGUCGAGCUUAAGCUAUGGGUUAGGGUUAUAAAACCUAUGUUUUUGAGCUAAUUUAAGAAUAAAUUGAUUUUACUCGGAGGCAAAGUUUACUGCUAAUGAGUUGUUUUGGUUGGGGCAACCGCGGAGAAACAAACCCUCCGCUAGAAGGCUAAGAAGAACUUAUUAUUUUAGAAGAUCUUUAGAUCAAAAAAUGAUCCACUAAAAAGUGAUCAAAAGAACCAGUUACCGCAGGGAUAACAGCGUUAUUUUUUUGGAGAG
rnacentral:rRNA from 1 species